rnacentral:rRNA from 1 species
GAUGCUUUAGUGCCUUCGGGAACUCUGAGACAGGUGCUGCAUGGCUGUCGUCAGCUCGUGUUGUGAAAUGUUGGGUUAAGUCCCGNAACGAGCGCAACCCUUAUCCUUUGUUGCCAGCACGUAAUGGUGGGAACUCAAAGGAGACUGCCGGUGAUAAACCGGAGGAAGGUGGGGAUGACGUCAAGUCAUCAUGGCCCUUACGAGUAGGGCUACACACGUGCUACAAUGGCGCAUACAAAGAGAAGCGACCUCGCGAGAGCAAGCGGACCUCAUAAAGUGCGUCGUAGUCCGGAUUGGAGUCUGCAACUCGACUCCAUGAAGUCGGAAUCGCUAGUAAUCGUAAAUCAGAAUGUUACGGUGAAUACGUUCCCGGGCCUUGUACACACCGCCCGUCACACCAUGGGAGUGGGUUGCAAAAGAAGUAGAUAGCUUAACCUUCGGGAGGGCGUUUACCACUUUGUGAUUCAUGACUGGGGUGAAGUCGUAACAAGGUAGGCGUAGUGCU